rnacentral:rRNA from 1 species
CCUACGGGUGGCAGCAGUGGGGAAUAUUGGGCAAUGGGCGCAAGCCUGACCCAGCAAUGCCGCGUGAAGGAAGAAGGCUUUCGGGUUGUAAACUUCUUUGACAGGGGAAGAGCAGAAGACGGUACCCUGAAAACAAGCCACGGCUAACUACGUGCCAGCAGCCGCGGUAAUACGUAGGUGGCAAGCGGUGUCCGGAUUUACUGGGUGAAACGGGCGUGUAGCCGGGAAGGCAAGUCAGAUGUGAAAUCCGGGGGCUCAACCUCCGAAUUGCAUUUGAAACUGUUUUUCUGGAGUACUGGGGAGGCAGACGGAAUUCCUUGUGUCGCGGUGAACUGCGUAGAUAUAAGGAGGAACACCAGUGGCGACGGCGGUCUGCUGGACAGCAACUGACGGUGAGGCGCGAAAGCGUGGGGCGCAAACAGGAUUAGAUACCCGUGUCGU